GGGAAGGUGGCUCAGUGGCAGAGUGCUUGCCUAGCAUGCAUGAAGUCCUAGGUUUGAUUCCUUACUACCACA
rnacentral:tRNA from 1 species